rnacentral:lncRNA from 1 species
UUGCAGAGCCAACCCGAGAGCAGUCCAAAUCCUACUUUUUUGAGGUUUUGGUGCUAGGUUUUCAUCCUCGCUCCUCGGGAUGCGAGUCAUAGGUCGGAAUACAGUCAACGACCAUAGAGAAAAUCCAAAAAGGUUCGGAUCAUCAAUCAAACACUCGAACCUUGCAAUUUACUAAAGUUCAGUAUGUUACAAAUUCAAUCAAACUUAAUAAAUUUAGUAGCAAUUUUAGCUCGAUAGGAAAAGAUAAAAAAAAUAAAAAAAGAAAGCAAGAUAGGGAGAGAGAGAGAGUGAGAGAGAGGAGAGAGAGUGAAGGAAAGAAAAAAAAAGAAGUGGGUCCCACCGAAGCCCCCCCAACACGUGGAGGCUUCAGUUCAACCCAACUUUCAUUAUAUUAACUAGUGUAGAGUCCGCGCUUCGCAGCGGAUAGUUAAUUAAAAUAUAUAAUUAUAAAAAUUUUAUAAUUAAAAAAUUAUUUGGUACAUUGUGAAAAAUAAAUUUUUUAUUAAUAUUUUCUUAAUUUUUGAAUAGUUAUAUUAUUUUAACAAUUUUAUUUAAAAUUUAAUCAAAUUUAAUGGUUUGAAAAUUAUUCUAUAAAUAAUAUUUUUAACUAAAAAAUUAAAAAUCUGAAUACAUCACUUAUUUCUACAGAUUUAGUUAUUAUAUUUUAUGUGAUUCUCAUAACUAAAUUUCGUAAAAAAAAAAUUAAUUUAAAUUCCAUCAAUCUUUCUUUUAUUUUUUAAUAUGUAAUUUAUAUUUAAAUACCCAAUAUUAUAAAAUUAAAAUUUAUAUUUAACACAAAUGGUCUAAAAUAUUUAAAAAUUAUUUAUAUAUUUUAAAUUUUAUAAUAAUAAAAAAAAAUAGAUUGGAUUUUAAAAAAUAUAAAUUAUUUUGUAUAUAUAUGAAGAGAGCAAAAAAGGGAAAAAAAAAU